rnacentral:hammerhead_ribozyme from 1 species
AUCUAGCUGACGAGUCCCAAGUAGGACGAAACGCGCGUCCUGGAU